UACGAAGGGGGCUAGCGUUGUUCGGAAUUACUGGGCGUAAAGGGCGCGUAGGCGGUGCAUCAAGUCAGGCGUGAAAGCCCCGGGCUCAACCUGGGAACCGCGCUUGAGACUGGUGCGCUCGAGUUCGGGAGAGGAUGGUGGAAUUCCAGUGUAGAGGUGAAAUUCGUAGAUAUUGGGAAGAACACCGAUGGCGAAGGCGAGCCAUCUGGACC
rnacentral:rRNA from 1 species